rnacentral:misc_RNA from 1 species
UGCGAUAAGUAAUGCGAAUUGCAGAAUUCAGUGAGUCAUCGAGUCUUCGAACGCACAUUGCGCCCCCCGGCAUCCCGGGGGGCACGCCUGUCCGAGCGUCGUCAACAUACCCUCGGGCGUCCAUGGAUGCCCGGCCCUGGGCCUUCUUUUGCCCCCGAGCGGGCAGGCCUGCAACCACCCCAACCGGUCCUCCCUGGAGCCCCCGAGCGCAGCGGCGUCCCCAUCGGCUCGGCUGGGUCCGUCCUCGGAGGGCCGGCGCCCCCCUUUCAUGUUGACCUCGGAUCAGGCGGGGUUACCCGCUGAACUUAA